GCAAGUCGAACGGUAGAGAGGUGCUUGCACCUCUUGAGAGUGGCGAACGGGUGAGUAACACGUAGAUAAUCUGCCCUUUAGUUGGGGAUAGCCCAUGGAAACAUGGGGUAAUACCGAAUAAUCUUGUUGUUGUAAUGAUGAUAAGGAAAGCAGCUAAGGCUGCGCUGAAGGAUGAGUCUGCGGUUCAUUAGCUAGUUGGUGGGGUAAAGGCCUACCAAGGCGACGAUGAAUAGCCGGCCUGAGAGGGUGAUC
rnacentral:rRNA from 1 species